ensembl:lncRNA novel transcript
UGAAAUGCCUUCUGGAAAUCCUUUGAUGGUCAAGAGUAAAUACAAGGUUAGAAGAGGAAAGAGAAAAUGGAGUUGGGGAACAAGGAAAGCACCACUAAGCAGGUUGAUCAUAUUGGCCUCUUCUCAGAAAUGAUGUCCAAAAGUCUUCACUGAGUGUGGCCGGAUGAUUUUGCUAAAGUGUAAACUGGUGAACCUUUCUAUGGGUCUUUAUAUUGGCAUUUUUUCAUUCAUUAAAAAAAAGAUAAGUAAGUUGAUGGAGUUGGUUCUCCUAAUUCUGCUAUUCAAUAACUUUGUGAUUGGAUAAGCAUAAAAUAUAUAAAAGUACAGAGAAUCACAGCUUGGCAAACUUUCUCCCCUUUCUAAGAAGACCCCUGAAUGGCCCUGCCUAUUACAAAUGGUACCUUGUUCAUGCCUUUUGUGCUGACAUUUAUUGGGAUCCCCGGUUUUGAAUCUGUACAAUGCUGGAUUGGGAUUCCAUUCUGUGCUACGUAUGUCAUUGCUCUGAUUGGAAAUUCUCUACUUUUGAUCAUCAUCAAAUCUGAGCCAAGCCUCCAUGAACCCAUGUAUAUCUUCCUGGCCACGUUAGGAGCCACAGACAUUUCACUUAGCACCAGCAUUGUGCCCAAGAUGCUUGAUAUUUUUUGGUUCCAUUUGCCAGAGAUAUAUUUUGAUGCUUGCCUCUUUCAGAUGUGGCUCAUCCACACAUUUCAAGGCAUUGAAUCAGGAGUCCUGCUAGCCAUGGCUCUGGACCGCUGUGUAGCGAUCUGUUAUCCUCUGAGGCGUGCUAUAGUAUUCACUC